GUGCCUAACACAUGCAAGUCGAACGGUAACAGGUCUUCGGAUGCUGACGAGUGGCGCACGGGUGAGUAACGCGUGGAUAUCUGCCUAUUAGUGGGGGACAACUUGUGGAAACGCAAGCUAAUACCGCAUAAUCCCUACGGGGGAAAGCAGGGGACCUUCGGGCCUUGUGCUGAUAGAUGAGUCCGCGUCUGAUUAGCUAGUUGGUAGGGUAAAGGCCUACCAAGGCGAUGAUCAGUAUCUGGUUUGAGAGGAUGAUCAGACACACUGGAACUGAGACACGGUCCAGACUUCUACGGAAGGCAGCAGUGGGGAAUAUUGCACAAUGGGCGCAAGCCUGAUGCAGCGACGCCGCGUUGGGAAGAAGGCUUUAGGGUUGUAAACCACUUUCAAUUGGGAAGAAGAAGAUGAGUGUUAAUAACAUUCUGAUUUGACGGUACCUUUAGAAGAAGCACCGGCUAAUUUCGUGCCAGCAGCCGCGGUAAUACGAAAGGUGCAAGCGUUGUUCGGAUUUACUGGGCGUA
rnacentral:rRNA from 1 species